GAGCUUUCGAAUGCUUUUGGAGCCAUGUAAUAAUGCCUUUUCCCAGCAUUCUUUAAUCAUCAUUACUCCGUACUCAGGCAUUUGAUUGCUCAUCUCUUUCUCAAUUCUUUCAUGAGUGGAGACUUUCUUUCGUGAUUGGAUUAGGGCUAGAGCAGCCUUCAGCCCAGCGGUGCCAGAGAAAAUUUGGAUGGCAGAUGCCCUGAAGGCCAGAGAGGAAAUAAACAUUGAUUCCACAAAUAAAUCCGGGGAUUUCGGCUAUCCAGAUGGGGAAAACAAUACCCUUAGCACAUAAAAGAUCAAUUCCAGGUCCCGCCGCAGGAGAAUGGAUAAACUGGAACGCGACAUCCACAUACGAAGGGGUGAGAACGAGUAAUCUACGCUUGCACACAUCCCUGCGGCUGAAUCUCGCAAAGAUCAUACAUGAAAGAAGCAAGCUGGAAAACAAGGCACUUCAAUGAUAUCAAGGAUUUCUUGGAUUUAACUCACAUGGGAAACCAUGUCUCGGGUCUGCUAAAAAUGUACUUGCUUUGGAAAGGAGGAGAGAAAAUGAGAGGAUAGAAUGAAUUCGCAGAGCAAGGAAAGGGCUUGGUUGUCCUUCAGAUCUUUUCACUUCACCAUGAGACCGGAGGGGCAGAUGGGACUUGGUAUCCAGCUAAACCCAGAUCCAAGGCAGGGGGAAUUCACAUAUGACCACUGGAUAAACACUCACCCCCUCAACUAUCCCGUGAGGUGGGCAUUCUCUCCAUUUUGCAGAGCAGGAAACGGCGAUUAUGGUGGGAAAUUAGACAGCCCCAAGGUGACUCAGACAGGUAUCAGCUGAACUAGGCUUGGGAUUCUGACCUCUGACUUCAAAGCUUUCUCUUCCACCUUUGACCUCACCUCUCAUCAUGCAGCUCUUGGGGUUCCAGUGAGCCCGAUUUUCAUCUGAUUUUUCUCCGUUGGAAUACAUGAGCCUUGCCAGAGGCACAUUAUUAUUGGGCUUACCUAUAUUCACCACUAUUUGGGGGGCACUAUACACUCCUGCGUGGGAGGAAUUUCGGCCUUGUGCACUAGCAAAUCAUCAGCUUGAGUGAUGAGUGAACAACUGGAGAUCCAUGAUUUACAGAUGAAGAGGCUGAAGCUCAGGGAGCUGAAGGGAUUUACUUCAGUUACACGGGAGUCGCACCCAGAGCCUUCCAGGGUUCCCUUUCUGUUUCCUCCUCAGAGUCAAGGUUGGCUUACCACCCAGCCCACCACCAGCCUACCCUGAGGAAACACAGCUCCACCCUCAGCCAGGAGAACAGCCCCAUCUGCUCCCUGGGUGUCCCACAC
ensembl:lncRNA